GUUCACCAUGAGGUAGCUGAAAUGAGAUAUUGGAUGUGAGGAGGGAAGCUGAUAGGUUCCAAGACAAGGCCUCUGUCUUCAUGAGGGCAGAAUGGAGCCUGAACCCUGUCUCAGGGGGUGCUGCCUGGCCAGUGGCAUUUAACCUCUCCGUCCCUCACCUGCUCACAGCUCUUCAGGUAGAACACCUACCCCCCCACAGAGCUGGUUGAGAAGUCAGUG